rnacentral:lncRNA from 1 species
GGAGGACCUAGAAGCGGACUCUGCCUGGGCUUGCCUGGGCUUGUUCAGAGCCGGGCUGCUUCCCUCGGCGACCACGCGGAUCCGGGGGGAUUUCGGGAUCUUGCGGGAGCCCUGCAGCCCGGCGCCGGCGAGGAGGGCGCUGGAAGCCCGCGGCCCUGCUCGCCCCGGGCCUCGGCGUCCACGGCCGGCGCAGGGAAGGCACAAGUGGAUCCUGAAAUUCAGGAGAAACGGAGGUGCUGCCUGCCCUUCUGGGAAUGCUGAUUCCCCUCGACCCAGACUGACAAUAAUUGUUAAGGUUAAAACAUCCGAGUAAGUCUUUUAUGGACUUGUCCCAGAGAUCUCCCACUGUUGUGUUAUUUUUUUUUUACCGUGUAUUUAGGCUUAUUUUUAUUUUUUUCCAUUUUACUUAGUUAUCGUACAAUGCAAUAUUGGUUUCUGGAGCAGAAUUCACUGGUUUAUCACUUACAUAUAACACCCAGUGCUCAUCACAACAAGUGGCCUCCUGGAUCCCCAUCACCCACCUAGCCUCUCCCCCACCACCUUCCUCCAUCAACCCUCCGUUCUCAAUUGUUAAGAAUCUCUUAUAGUUUAUCUCCCUCUCUCCUCCCCACUCCUUUGCAUAUGUUCAUCUGUUUUCUUUCUUAAGUUCCACAUUUGAGUGAGAUCACAUGGUAUUUGUCUUUCUCUGACUGGCUUAUUUCACUUAGCAUAAUACCCAGAAUUCCAUCCAUGUUGUUGCAAAUGGCAAGAUUUCGUCCUUUUUGAUGGCUGAGUAGUAUUCUAGUGUGUGUGUGUGUGUGUGUGUGUGUGUGUGUGUGUGUGUGUGUGUGACAUCUUUAUCCAUUCAUCAGUUGAUGGACAUUUGGGCUCUCUCAAUAGUUUGGCUAUUGUUGAUAAUGCUACUAUAAACAUUGGGGUCCAUGUGUCCCUUCAAAUCUGUAUUUUUGCAUCCUUUGGGUAAAUACCUAUUAGUGCAAUUGCUAGGUCAUAGGGUAAUUCUGUUUUUAACUUUUUGAGAAGAUUCCAUACUGUUCUCUGGAGUGGCUGCACCAGUUUGCAUUCCUUUUUAUUUUUUUUUAUUUUUUUGCAUUCCCAUCAACAAUGCAGGAGGGUUCCUCUUUCUCUGCAUCCUCACCAACACCUGUUGUUUCAUGUGUUGUUCGUUUUAGCCAUUCUGACAGGUGUGAGGUGGUAUCUCAUCGUGGUUUUGAUAGAGUGAUGCUGAGCAUCUUUUCAUGUGUCUGUUAGCCAUCUGGAUGUCUUUUUCAGAAAAGUGUCUAUUCAUGUCUUCUGCCCAUUUCUUCACUGGAUUA